UACGAAGGGGGCUAGCGUUGUUCGGAAUUACUGGGCGUAAAGCGCACGUAGGCGGAUAUUUAAGUCAGGGGUGAAAUCCCGCAGCUCAACUGCGGAACUGCCUUUGAUACUGGGUAUCUUGAGUAUGGAAGAGGUGAGUGGAAUUCCGAGUGUAGAGGUGAAAUUCGUAGAUAUUCGGAGGAACACCAGUGGCGAAGGCGGCUCACUGGUCCAUUACUGACGCUGAGGUGCGAAAGCGUGGGGAGCAAACAGGAUUAGAUACCCCCGUAGUCC
rnacentral:rRNA from 1 species